CUCAAUAGUAUGCCAGCUAUGAAAGUUCCGUUAAUAGUUCAUAGUGAAUUUUAUGAAGGGGUCUGUUGUCUCAUAACAAAUAGGUAAGGGACCAAAUUUGCCUCCCCCCCUUUUUUUUGUUUGUUAGUGAUCGUGUUGUUCUUUAGGGAAAUAGACAGAGAUCAAUUUGAUUGUUCAAUCUAAUUCUUAUUGUGAAAUGUUAACCUGUCUUCUGUCCUACAUUAGUUUUCCCAAUAAGAGGUAAUUUUCUUACCCAAGUACAUAAGCAUAUAUCAUUUAGAGAUCCUAAAAUGUAAUUUGUAUAGGUUUUUCUGUUACUUAUCUAAGCAUUUGGGUAGGUGAGACUUUCAAUUUCUACAUAAGGGGUCUUGUUCUUCCCUUCCUCUUUUUCUUUUCGGAUUAUAUGUAUGUACUGGUCACCUUCCUUCAAUCAAGUCAUUAGCUAAGUCAAUGUAAAAUGAGAAAUCAAGGAGCGUAACAUAUGCAAGUGAAAACUAAAUGAAGAAGCUAUUUUUUAGAGCCUA